UUGUCUUUAAUUGCCAUUCAUUUAGUUGGGCACUUUAAAGAGACUGCCGGUGUUAAGCCGGAGGAAGGUGGGGAUGACGUCAAGUCCUCAUGGCCUUUAUGCCCAGGGCUACACACGUGCUACAAUGGGCGGUACAAAGAGAAGCAACCUCGCGAGGGUGAGCAAAUCUCAAAAAGCCGUUCUCAGUUCGGAUUGAAGUCUGCAACUCGACUUCAUGAAGUCGGAAUCGCUAGUAAUCGCGGAUCAGCAUGCCGCGGUCGAAUACGUUCCCGGGCCUU
rnacentral:rRNA from 1 species